GAGGGGGCAGAGUCGGGUGGUUUUGACAGGCAGCGCAGGGGUGUUGGGAGGUGUACGCGUUGUGAACUGGGGUCCGCGGUUAAGCGCACUUUGCACUAGCCAGUCAUUAAUGCUGUGUGGGGGGUUGCGCGUUUACGGGGCGCCCUGACAGCGGAGUGGACACGCGGGAGACAGGGCUGAGAUCAUGCCCCGAGCGGUUGUACAACCGUGUGGCGGGAGGGAAGGCUAGCCGAGCAGCGCACCGGAACUCGACGGUAUUCGGUACUUGGUGCUCGGUACUCAGCCAGCCAGCGCGCGGAAAUGUGAGGCGGAGGCGGGCUGCGCGCGGACAUCGGCACAGCGGUGUAGCGGCGCUUCAGGCGGGAACGGAGCUGAGGAGGGAAAAGCAGGAAUCUUCUCGAGCCUAGUUUAGUUUAUGCACCAACAGUGCCGUUAUGAACUGAUGCAAAAGUUACGCGGCGGGGUGGCGGGGGUGUAACGCAACGUUGAACGGGUCAGAAAGAAGCAGCUGCGGCUGGACAGUCAGCGUGUGUGUGUCACUGUGUGUGUGUCUCUUCACGCCAAAGAAGACGGAGGAGAGGAAAGAGGACGGGGCGACAUGCUGCGGAGGGGACUUAACCGCCUGUUUGGGGGAGACGAGAGACGUGUUGAUAGUAGGACAGUCUACGUGGGACACCAGCCCUGCCCCUCCACGCAGGCCUUUGUCCCGCCUAAAUUCUGUGACAACAGGAUCGUGUCAUCCAAGUACACAGUGUGGAACUUCCUACCAAAGAACCUGUUUGAACAGUUCAGGAGAAUCGCCAACUUCUACUUCUUGAUCAUAUUCCUGGUCCAGGUGAUUGUGGACACUCCCACCAGCCCUGUGACCAGCGGUCUGCCCUUGUUUUUUGUCAUCACUGUGACAGCCAUCAAACAGGGCUAUGAGGACUGGCUGCGACAUAAAGCAGACAAUGAGGUGAACAACUACCCAGUCAAUGUGCUGGAGAAUGGCCGGCGAACCCAGAAGGAGAGCAAGAAGAUAAAGGUGGGUGACAUCGUGGAGGUUCUGGAGGAUGAGACGUUCCCCUGUGACCUGAUCCUGUUGGGGUCCAGCCGGGACGACGACACCUGCUUUGUCACCACGGCCAGUCUAGACGGGGAGUCCAACCACAAGACACACUACACAGUGCCUGACUUGGAGAGUGACCUGGAAGUGCUUAACGCUACAAUCGAAUGUGAGCAGCCUCAACCUGACCUCUACAAGUUUGUUGGUAGGAUGCACAUCCACAAGGAUGGCCAGGAGCCAGCCGUGCGGUCUCUGGGCCCCGAGAACCUUCUGCUGAAAGGAGCUACCCUAAAGAACACCAGGGUGGUUUAUGGAGUGGCAGUCUACACAGGCAUGGAGACCAAGAUGGCCCUCAAUUACCAGGGCAAGUCUCAGAAACGCUCUGUUGUGGAGAAGUCCAUCAAUGGGUUCCUUCUGGUGUAUCUGUGCAUCCUGCUGAGCAAAGCGCUCGUGUGCACCACACUCAAGUACGUGUGGCAGAACCAGCGUGGACAAGAUGAGCCCUGGUACAACCAGAAGACACAGAAAGAGAAAGAAGCCAAUAUGUUCUUGAAGAUGUUUACGGACUUCCUUUCCUUCAUGGUUCUCUUCAACUUCAUCAUCCCCGUGUCCAUGUAUGUUACUGUGGAAAUGCAGAAAUUCCUGGGCUCUUUCUUUAUCACCUGGGACCGGGAUUUCUAUGACCGGGAGAUCCAGGAGGGGGCACUGGUGAACACAUCUGACCUCAAUGAGGAGCUGGGUCAGGUGGAGUAUGUGUUCACUGACAAGACCGGCACCCUCACACAGAACAACAUGGAGUUCAUUGAAUGCAGCAUCGACGGCUUCCAGUACAAGUACCAGGACUCGCGCACAGAACUGGAUGGGUUUUGUGUGACGGAUGGUCCGGUCAGCAAGUUGCAGCAGAAAGCAGGAAGGGAGAAGGAGGAGUUGUUCCUCCGGGCUCUGUGUCUGUGUCACACUGUUCAGGUGAAAGAGGCAGGGCAGGGGGUUGGAUUUGCCGACCAGGUAGAUGGAGUGGACGUGGCCAGCGCAGUGGAACAGCGUGGAUUCAUUGCCUCCUCUCCAGAUGAGGUGGCAUUGGUCAAAGGAGCCAUGAAGUACGGGUUCACUUUCCUGGGCUUGGAAAGCAAAAGCAUGAAAAUAUUGAACAGGAAUAAUAAGAUUGAGAAGUAUGAGCUGCUACAUGUGUUAAACUUUGACCCAGUGCGAAGACGCAUGAGUGUGAUCGUCAGAUCUCCAGAUGGGGAGACACUGCUGUUUUGCAAAGGAGCUGACUCCUCCAUCUUCCCACGUGUCAGGCAAGAGGAGGUGGAACGCAUACGCAUGCACGUGGAGCGCAACGCCACGGAGGGCUACCGAACACUCUGCGUGGCCUACAAGCGGCUCACCGAUGAGGUGUUUGCACGGGUGGAUGCAGAGCUGAGGGAGGCGCGGCUGGCUUUACAGGACAGGGAGGAGAGGCUCGUGGCAGUCUACAACCAAGUGGAGAAAGGGAUGAAUCUAAUUGGAGCCACAGCAGUGGAGGACAGACUGCAGGAGGAGGCAGCCGAGACCAUGGAGGCCCUGCAGAGUGCCGGCAUAAAGGUGUGGGUGCUGACAGGGGACAAGAUGGAGACUGCCAAGUCCACCUGCUAUGCCUGCCGGCUCUUUCAGCGCAGCACUGAGUUACUAGAGCUGACAGUGCGCACCCUGGAGGAAGGAGGCCGCAAGCGCGGGGAGCGCCUGCAUGAGCUGCUACUGGACUACCACAAGAGGGCAGUGCAGGAUGCACCACCUCCAAAAGGAGGGGUCACAAGGACCUGGUCUUCGGCUGCUCAGGAGUAUGGCUUCAUCAUCGACGGCACAACACUGUCUCUGCUGCUGAACGCCUCCUCAGAUGUAGUCUCCAGCAACUACAGGAGUCUUUUUCUCCAGAUCUGCCAAAACUGCACGGCUGUCCUGUGUUGCCGCAUGGCGCCGCUGCAGAAAGCCCAGAUAGUGAAGAUGGUGAAAAAUUCAAAAGGAAAUCCCAUCACCCUGUCAAUCGGGGAUGGGGCUAAUGAUGUCAGCAUGAUUCUGGAAGCACAUGUGGGCAUUGGUAUAAAGGGGAAGGAGGGCCGACAGGCGGUGCGGAACAGUGAUUACGCCAUUCCCAAACUAAAGCAUCUGAAAAAACUGCUCUUGGCACAUGGACACCUUUACUAUGUGCGCAUCGCCCACCUCGUUCAGUACUUCUUCUACAAGAACCUCUGCUUCAUCUUACCACAGUUCCUGUAUCAGUUCUUCUGCGGAUAUUCUCAGCAGCCACUGUACGACGCAGCCUAUCUGACGAUGUACAACAUCUGCUUCACCUCUAUGCCCAUCCUGGCCUAUAGCCUCCUGGAACAGCACAUCUGCAUUGAGAUCCUGCUUGAGAAUGCCACACUCUACAGGGAGGUGGCGAAGAACGCCAUGCUUCGGUGGGGUCCAUUCCUCUGCUGGACGCUCUUGGGAAUCUUCCAGGGUCUGCUCUUUUUUUUUGGGGUCCAUUGCCUGUUUGGGAACUCUGCACUGCAGGACAAUGGCCAGGUGUUUGGGAACUGGUCCUUUGGGACAAUUGUUUUCACAAUCCUGGUCUUCACGGUCACCCUCAAGCUCGCUCUGGACACAAGACACUGGACAUGGAUCAACCACUUUGUCAUCUGGGGCUCACUGGCCUUCUAUGUGUUUUUUAGCUUUUUCUGGGGUGGGAUCAUCUGGCCCUUCCUCAAGCAGCAGCGACUCUACUUCGUCUUUGCCAACAUGCUGAGCUCCGUGUCAGCCUGGCUAGUCAUCAUCCUGCUCAUCCUGCUGAGUCUGCUCCCCGACAUCCUGUGGGCAGUGCUGCGCAAACCCCGUGGUCCUCACGCACAACAGAUGAAGAGACGCCUUCCUUCUUCUGGAACGUCCACUAUCUUCAUGCUGUCCCAGACCCCCAGCACUCACAGCUUCUCCUGGAGUGACUGAGGUCUUUUCCCUGCUCUUCUCUCCUCUCUCCUGGUGGUGUGGCCAUUGCUGGUUUCUCAACUCUCUGCCUUUCCCCUCACUCCUCUUGGCUGUCAGCCCUGACCCCCAUCUCAGAGGUGACACCAGGCAGCUGAUCUGAAAACUAUUGUGUGGCACCAAAUGAUACAUCGCUAUAUUCUCUUUAUCCGACAACCACUUAUCAUUGAGAUUGCCAUGGUAUUGCCUGUGUCGUACAAGUACCUGAAGGACCAGGAUUACAUCAAUGUGCUGAGUGACUGACAGGACCUUCUGUUUGCUGUAGCUCCUGAAUGUCCACACAUUUGCCAAAAUAAUCAUGUCCAAACAAAGAAGAGUGAAGAAGAAAAGGGUAACCAUUGUACUGUAACCAAUGUUCAGCAUCUACCCCCACCCCGAUGCAGCAGCACUGUUUCUGAAGAUCAACUAUGCGCUUUCACUGUGUUCAGUUCUUUUUGGCUUUUUCCUUGAAAAGAGUAGAACUUUCCAACUCUCCGGACUGUUGCCAUCCAGUGCUGUAUCCAGCAAAGCUCUCUUGAGCGGCUGUUCCCCAUCCGUCCCAUAAUGCAGUGCAGUAGUUGCAUGCACAUAAGCUUAUUGGAUUACAUUUCACUGUUCAGUGUUUAUUUUACUACAGCUCGCUCUUUCUAUUUUAAGAUAAGGGCCGUGGGGUCUUUUUUUUUUUUUUUUUAAAAAAAAAAAAAAAAUGCUGUGGCUGUUCA